UUUGAAUGAAAUACCACAACUAUAAUUAUUCAACCCCACACAACUACAAACAAGACUUUUUUAACCCUUUGAAUAAGGUGAUAACAUUGUUUUUCACUUUUAAGCUUGUAAUGAGUUAUAAACAAAAAUGGGAUAAAUUGGCUAAUUGGCUAAAAAAAUAAAACACAAACGACUUGCCUUUAUCAUAUCAGUGUGCACAAGUAAUAAAAUAGUUUCAAACAAAGUCAGAUCAAGUUCUAGAGACUAACAGACAUGAGUGAAUUCACACAAGAAAUAAAGAGAUGGAUUGUUUUUAAUGUUAUCCAUUAUUAGGCUCAAAAUCUCACAAAGUUUAAUAAUCUACCACAAAUGAUGCACAAUUCAAAAUUUAGUCUUACUUAUAUACUAAGAAUGCACAUCAAAUCACGCACAUCACAUCAUGAAUCUUUAGUCAAGAGAAUGGAGAAAUU
rnacentral:lncRNA from 1 species